UACGUAGGGGGCAAGCGUUGUCCGGAAUUAUUGGGCGUAAAGAGCGCGUAGGCGGUCCGAUAAGUCCGCUGUGAAAGUCCAGGGCUCAACCCUGGGAUGCCGGUGGAUACUGUCGGGCUCGAGUCCGGAAGAGGCGAGUGGAAUUCCUGGUGUAGCGGUGAAAUGCGCAGAUAUCAGGAGGAACACCAAUGGCGAAGGCAGCUCGCUGGGACGUGACUGACGCUGAGACGCGAAAGCUAGGGGAGCAAACGGG
rnacentral:rRNA from 1 species